GAUGAACGCUAGCGGCAGGCCUAAUACAUGCAAGUCGAACGGUAGAUCGGGUAGCAAUACUUGAUUGAGAGUGACGUAAGGGUGCGUAACACGUAUGCAAUCUACCCUCAACAGGAGUAUAACUCGGGGAAACUCGGAUUAACACUCCAUAACAUUACGAUGUGGCAUCACAUUGUGAUUAAAACUCCGGUGGUUGAGGAUGAGCAUGCGUCUGAUUAGUUAGUUGGAGGUGUAACGGACCCCCAAGACGAUGAUCAGUAGGGGAACUGAGAGGUUGAUCCCCCACACUGGCACUGAGAUACGGGCCAGACUCCUACGGGAGGCAGCAGUAGGGAAUAUUGGUCAAUGGGUGAGAGCCUGAACCAGCCAUGCCGCGUGCAGGAAGACGGCCUUCUGGGUUGUAAACUGCUUUUAUCUGGGAUAAAAGCCCAUGCGUGGGACAUUGAAGGUACCAGAUGAAUAAGCACCGGCUAACUACGUGCCAG
rnacentral:rRNA from 1 species